rnacentral:misc_RNA from 1 species
GUAGGUGAACCUGCGGAGGGAUCAUUACCGAGUGAAGGGUCUCCGGGCCCGACCUCCAACCCCAUGUUAUCCGACCCAGUUGCCUCGGGGGCGACCCGGCCUCACGGCGGGGGCCCCCGGUGGACCGUCAACUCUGCAUUACUGCGUCCGAGUCAAUAUUGAAUAAAUCAAAACUUUUAACAACGGAUCUCUUGGUUCUG